rnacentral:rRNA from 1 species
AUACGAAGGGGGCAAGCGUUGUUCGGAAUAACUGGGCGUAAAGCGCACGUAGGCGGAUUGAGCAGUUAGAGGUGAAAUCCCAGGGCUCAACCCUGGAACUGCCUUUAAUACUGUCAGUCUAGAGAUCGAGAGAGGUGAGUGGAAUUCCGAGUGUAGAGGUGAAAUUCGUAGAUAUUCGGAGGAACACCAGUGGCGAAGGCGGCUCACUGGCUCGAUACUGACGCUGAGGUGCGAAAGCGUGGGGAGCAAACAGGAUUAGAAACCCCAGUAGUCC